AAGUCGUAACAAGGUCUCCGUUGGUGAACCAGCGGAGGGAUCAUUACUGAGUAUUACACUCUCUACCCUUUGUGAACUAUUAUACCUGUUGCUUCGGCGGCGCCCGCAAGGGUGCCCGCCGGUCUCAUCAGAAUCUCUGUUUUCGAACCCGACGAUACUUCUGAGUGUUCUUAGCGAACUGUCAAAACUUUUAACAACGGAUCUCUUGGCUCCAGCAUCGAUGAAGAACGCAGCGAAACGCGAUAUGUAAUGUGAAUUGCAGAAUUCAGUGAAUCAUCGAAUCUUUGAACGCACAUGGCGCCUUCCAGUAUCCUGAGAGGCAUGCCUGUCCGAGCGUCGUUUCAACCCUCGAGCCCCUGUGGCCCGGCGUUGGGGAUCUGCCACGGCAGGCCCCUAAAACCAGUGGCGGACCCGAAGGGCCCUCUCCUUUGCGCAGUAGCAUUCGCCUCGCAUCGGGAGUCCUCGGCGUCCUGCCUCUAAACCCCCCACAAGCCCGCUUCGGCGGCACCAAGGUUGACCUCGGAUCAGGUAGGAAUACCCGCUGAACUUAA
rnacentral:rRNA from 1 species